rnacentral:rRNA from 1 species
GAAGAAAGGGGGAGGCGUGCUUAACACAUGCAAGUCGAACGGAAAGGCCCUGCUUUUGUGGGGUGCUCGAGUGGCGAACGGGUGAGUAACACGUGAGUAACCUGCCCUUGACUUUGGGAUAACUUCAGGAAACUGGGGCUAAUACCGGAUAGGAGCUCCUGCUGCAUGGUGGGGGUUGGAAAGUUUCGGCGGUUGGGGAUGGACUCGCGGCUUAUCAGCUUGUUGGUGGGGUAGUGGCUUACCAAGGCUUUGACGGGUAGCCGGCCUGAGAGGGUGACCGGCCACAUUGGGACUGAGAUACGGCCCAGACUCCUACGGGAGGCAGCAGUGGGGAAUAUUGCACAAUGGGCGGAAGCCUGAUGCAGCAACGCCGCGUGCGGGAUGACGGCCUUCGGGUUGUAAACCGCUUUCGCCUGUGACGAAGCGUGAGUGUCGGUAAUGGGUAAAGAAGCACCGGCUAACUACGUG